GACGAACGCUGGCGGCGUGCUUAACACAUGCAAGUCGAACGGAAAGGCCCUGCUUGCAGGGUGCUCGAGUGGCGAACGGGUGAGUAACACGUGGGUGAUCUGCCCCUUACUUUGGGAUAAGCCUGGGAAACUGGGUCUAAUACUGGAUAGGACCAUGCUGUAGGUGGUGUGGUGGAAAGAUUAGUUUCGGUAAGGGAUGAGCUCGCGGCCUAUCAGCUUGUUGGUGGGGUAAUGGCCUACCAAGGCGUCGACGGGUAGCCGGCCUGAGAGGGUGGACGGCCACAUUGGGACUGGGAUACGGCCCAGACUCCUACGGGAGGCAGCAGUGGGGAAUAGUGCACAAUGGGCGCAAGCCUGAUGCAGCGACGCCGCGUGUGGGAUGACGGCCUUCGGGUUGUAAACUCCUUUCAGCCAUGACGAAGCCCUUGUGGUGACGGUAGUGGUAGAAGAAGCACCGGCUAACUACGUG
rnacentral:rRNA from 1 species